GGCGCGCCAACUCUCCCCACACGUCUAGCACAUUCCCAGUUGCAUAUUUUAAUAACAGCCACAUUAUAGUACAUCAUUGUAACUAGUUACAAUGUUGUACUACUGUGACUUAAAAAGUAAAAGAACAAAAAUGAAAACUAUCUAUAUAAUUAUAGCUAGAUAGUAAAGGAAAGGGAUUGGAAACGCAUUACGUCAUAUGUCACAAUCCUACUUACGGAAUGUAGCCUCGAUUACAGGCCCUCUAUUGCGGCGUAAAUCGAAGCCACAUGGUAUAAUUAUGAGAGUAUCUCAAGCUGGAGCCCUAAGCAUGUCUAAGCUCAUACUGUGGACAGUGUAAUUAAAGGAAUUUAAGGGCUUCAUGAUGGCAUCCAUAUCAGUAAAAAAGCUAGAUCUAUCAUAAUUAUUUUAGUUAGAUAAUAACAUUAUAAACACGACAACAAUGUAUUUAUAUCUUACUAAACUCCCUUUGUGAGUCUUGACACUAAUUAUAAGUGUAAUACUGUACUCUAAGGGAUCUCAAUAAUAAUUUAUUAUAAAUAUUAUAUAAUGUUUAACACAAGGUACACACAAGCAAAAAUAAACAUGUAUAUGAUAUGUACUUAAUAAUGAGGUGACAGGUGAGGUUACUAAGUGUCUUAUAAUGGUUGAAUUUAUAUCUUCCUAGAUGCUUUUGUUUUGUCGAGAGAAAGUAGGAUCUGGUUGAGGUCGAGAAUGGCUUGAAUUUUUUCUUACAAGCUUUUUGCUUCACAUCCUAAAAAGACAAUUAUAUAAAUCACAUUAAAAAACAUGUACGUAAAAGUUGUUGUAAAUCAAUAGUGGGUGUCUUGAUCACUCCAAAAUCAUUUGCACCUCAUUUACUAGCAUGAGUAUUACAACAUACAAAUAAAAAAAUACCAGAUCAACCAGAUCCUACCCUCAGGAAAUACCUCUCAACAAUCCAGUAUAGAGAAUAUUGUGUGUGUAUCGAUGGAGAGGCUUUGCUUACUUAAGGUCUAUCGCCAGUUAUUAUAGUCAGGACCAAGCAGUGAAGCGGUGACCAGCACCUAUCACCUCGGUCAAUGCUGUGUGGAGUAGAAGCGUGAUUGAUAGUAAGGGCAUGUGCAUAUGCUAUUAUUUAAGCCAUUAUAUAGAAUAGACAAUGGGUCAUAAUUGUAAAUGUAUACCUACAUCAUUACACUUGAUACAUCUAUGUACAACAGUUGAUGGCCUCUAGGUCCAGGCUGGAACAUCUCCAUAUAGUCAGCCAAGGCAUCAUGUCCCCACAAUCUGCAUGGCCACAUCACCAGCAGCAGCAGUCUUUCUUGAUAUCGGUUGAAGAACAUGCUCACAGUAUAUAGAUUUGUGUGUGCUACGUACUUAUAUCUAGUACAUGCAGGCUCUUGGCAAAUAAUAAAUCUUGUAAUGACCACGAGAUAAAAGCUCCAUGCAGUGACUUAAUACUUGGGACCGGACCGGACAGCUUGGAUCUUAAAUAUUUACGCAGUGUGGAGCAGGCUCAACAAAUAUGUCCACAUGUCACAUGCCAACAGACAUGUGUUCUCCGCGGCAAUACCCAUGGAGGUGAGGGAUGAGGGUCUAUCACUGAAUUGUUGGAAUAUAUAAGCUCCAAUCAUUCAUACAACAUUGGGCAGUUGAGGAAACACAUCGAAUCAAUAUGGGAAAGUCGCUGUCAUUCUCCUUCAAAAGUGCUAUCACCAUGCAAUUAUUUUGUUCAAGAAAGGUGGGUCUGAGUUGCUCACUGUCGUAGUGUUGUCAUACUAUAAAGAAAAGAAGUUCAAUACGUUAAACGUUCCCCAUUUUUGCAAGAUAAACAUCUUGAAGUUCAGAAUGUACCAAUCUUGUAGAACAAUGAAGAAAAUCGAGGAUAUGCUCAUCUUAAACGACAACGAAAACACAAGCAGACGAGUACAGAAAGCUAUACUGGUGUAAGCAAGCAGUGAUCGAUAUUUAUAAUCAUCGAGCAAUGUAACUCAACCCAUCCACACCCCAUGAGGUGCUGAAUUGAGUUGUUGGAUACAGGUGACCAGGGAUCUGAUCCUCUGGUUUGAUUGAGGUGAGAGGAAAUGAAUGAAUGAAAUGGCUGCCCCCUGUUAAUUUUUGGUACUGUAAUUCAGUGCAUGUGUAACUGGACUAGAAACUAACUUUUAUAGUAUCACCUUAGCAGUAGUGAUGUCAGACUGUGUGUAUGGGUGUAACACGUGAUGUUUUACCUUAGCAGUAGUGAUGUCAGGCUGUGUGUGUGGGUGUAACACGUGAUGUGUUACACGUUGGAAUAUAAGAAUUCUAAGGUACAAUGGAGGUCCAGGCCGAGACUUUACAUCCAGGUCAGUAGGAGACGUGGGUUGGCAGGGAGCUUUGGACUGGGGUCUGUGGCGAGCCUGAGCGAUGGCUGAAGGUGGAGCGACGACGGGAGCACGUGGAACCUAGGGCCUGCCAAUACCUUUCGCGUCCAGGAGUGUGAGGACGGAGUGGCUGAGACGUGUAGCCACAGCUUUGGAAGUGCCAGUGACGGCCUGUGGUUCAGACCUGGGGUUAAUGCUGGGAGGUAGACUCACGGACAUGGGCCGGAGUCCGGCUGAUGUUUGGGCCUUUGUGGACUCUGGCGAAGAGGAGCUAGAGGGAGCACACCACUCGUUGAGGGAUGCUCAGAGGACGAUAGAACAGCGGACAUGAGACGCGGUGGACACUGAAGCCGACGUUGUGGACAAAGCGUUGGACCGUAGCCCAGUAGAGGACGGUACUCUAGGAGGGCGGCAUCAACUGAGCGAAUGGCCACGUUGACCAGACUGAGCAGACUAGCCUGGAAGAGAGGUUGAGAGCUCAAGCAGAGGAGCUGGAGGGAGCACACCACUCGUUGAGUGAUGCUCAGAGGACGAUGGAAGCCGACGUUGUGGACAAAGCGUUGGACCGUAGCCCAGUAGAGGACGGUCAAGAUGACCUUGAGUGAAAAGAGGGACCGUUUGCGCGUGGGUGGAUUCAACAUUAUGUAUUAGUAGUUGCAUUCAUGAUUUCUUUUGUUGAGCUUUGCUACACCCUUAACAAGUGGUAUGAAUUUUUACAACAUAGAGAGUAUGGUUAUUGAAAGUUAUAUGCCAAAAAGAUAAAACACUAGUCACAUUGUAAAAGCCAGCACGGAAAGGAAACGAAGAUGCUUUGCAUUUUUCCAAAGUAGGCUGGAGAAAAAACAUUAUGUUUAUUCUUGUGUCCCUACUGCUGCAUUAUAACUAUUGCAGCGUGCAAGUAUGAAUGUAGAAACAAGGAAGACAUUGACGUAGAUCUGAGGGAGGUGUCACACCUCUCAGCCCUGAACAUUGAGACGUCACAGACCGAAAUCCCUUCAGCUAAUGAAGACGUCACCAUUGAGACGUCACAGACCGAGAUCCCUUCAGCUAAAUGAAGACGUCACCAUUGAGGCGGCAUAGACCGAGAUCCUGAACCCUAAUAAAGACGUCACCAUUGGGACGUCAUCCUCUCAACGGGUAAAAAAAAACGUUUAACUGAUUCGUGCCUCUACGAUGAACUUUGAAAGUUAUGCCCACCUAAAAGGUUGAAGUCUCACAAGAAGUGAGAAACUGAUGCUGCUGUUAAGAUUACUAUGUGAUUUGAAUGCUUAAGUUUAUUAAACUAAACGGGGGGAAAUUCAUGAUAGCCGGCUACCUAGUAAACUGUAAUGGACACCCAUUUAAACGUAUAAGGGGAGCAGUCUGCAGGGAGGGGGACAAAGACAAUGACAUUCAAACAAGAGAACAGGAGAAACACGCAUGAGAACACGGAGAACAGGGGAAAGCAGAGAAUCAUGAGAACGGAAAUUGUAAAAAUAAAACGGAAGAAUACGUAUGACCAUGUGGUUAGUGGUGCUGCCAUCCACAAAUAUCCAUAUCUCAACCGGCUUCAGCAUUAGCCAAUACCUCGACACUAUGGCGAUCAGCUGAGGCUACGAGUGAGGGAUUGGUAGCAAGUUUAUACCUCGGCGAUGGGGUUGUGCCCGUGCCAGAAAAGAUAAUGAAAAAAUAUAGUCUCUGGCAGCUACUACCCGGGGUGCAAGAUAAUGUUCGAGCAAGCUCAAGAAGGGAGCUUCUUCGAAUUCUCCUGGAUUUAGUGUUACAGCACUCUGGUGAGCGUGCUCGCUCACCUCAAUUGAUGGCUUACCAAUCAAUUAUCGUCAGAUGCUACACUGAUUAUGAAGGCGAUAGUUGGUUGGUAUAUGACCAAGCAUUUCGACGGAAAACGGCAUAUGAAAAGUGCUUAGACUGGCCAAAGUUAAUGCCUCGCAGGCAAUGCAAAGAAGAAUGUGGUGUGAGGAAAUUGUUUAACACACGACCACCAGACAAAGCCCUCCAGAGGCCAGGGUAUUGCACACCCGAUUCAGCAGGCCUGUAAAUUCAGGGGACUAUAAUCAAAGUGUAAGUAUAGAGAAUGCAAUUUAUACCAAUUUUGCAGUAGGUAGUAGGAGAACUACUAAUCCCCGGUGACACGCGCAAUGCGCCCACCUACCCUAAUUGCCUGCUAUUUACCAAAUCGCCAGGCAGAAACUGCUGGUGCGUCAAUACAAUCAAUAUAGAGAGUCCGUAAAUUGUGCCUUUUUGUUUCCCCACCCACCUACACCAAAAGUGGUGCCCUCAGAUGUGAACAAAAUCACAACGUAAUCGUUGCUCACGUACACUGUGUCACUGCAAAGAUACCUGACUACCUGAGAAUGCUCUCAAAAUAUUGACAUUCAGCAUCGAAGACUUGUACUCGAUUACGAUCAGUCACAUAGAGGUUGUUGGCGCUAUCAAAUGCUGCACUAUUAUUGUACAAACUUUAGUUCAGUAUAGAGAGAACUUGUAUCAUAGGCGAGUUAAGCAUAUAAUAUACUCUAACAAAUACCAAACAGGCAUCCAGCCUGGACUAUCAACUGCUAGAAUACCAUCACGAAUGAACAAUCUAUCACAAAGCUUGAAGAAAUGCGAAGAGAUUUUUUUAUCAAAAUGAUGUUGCAAAGACACUUAUAACCUCGAUAUUCCAGCUUGUUUUGGUUGACCAAGAUAUGACGGCAAAUUCUGUUCACAAGUAUCCACCACCACAAACGUUAAAUCACAAGUGUUGGGGCUGAGCUGGACUACUAGAGGGAUAUGGCAGAAAAAAUCCUACACUUUCAAAAUUGAAGGUAUAACUGAUGGAGCCUUACUUGAUAGUGAAAACAAUCAGCUGGUUAUCGCAGAGGCCAAACAUGUGAAAUCACAUUCCGAAGCCGGGAAGGGGCAGCUAUUGCUAUCUAUGUUGAUGAGCUUUUUGAAAAAGGACAUGGCCAGUUCUGUGUGGGGGUUCCUGGUUUCAGAUAAAAGUUUGACAAUAGUCCGUAUGCACCUAGCGAAGGAUUUGGAAAGAUGGGCAGCAUACGGAACUUGCAGCCUCUUCUAUCAGCAUGUUUCUAUGCCCUCCAACAAAAUUUGGAUGCCACAAAUUUGGGCAACAAUUUGAAUUCAAACAGUUUGGACAACAAGCGACAAAGGCAAGAUUUGUUGGAAAUAUCCGGUGAGUACAAGUUACCAACCAACUUAACUGUCCCCCACAGCACACUCAUUGUUGUCGGUCCCAAUUGCUCACAACACUGAAUAAAUUUGACAUCUGUCUGUUACCAACCAACUUAACUGUCCCCACAGCACACUCAUUGUUGUCGGUCCCCAUUGCUCACAACACUGAAUAUGGAGAUGAUGUUCAGUCAUCGUCGUCGGUUGAAACCUCACACUUGUCGAUCCCUGUUUCCACUGAAUAUGGAGAUGAUGUUCAGUCAUCGUCGUCGUGUGAGUUUAGGGUUUAUACAAAAUUUGACAUCGCUCAGAACACUGAAGAUGUUCUGAAGGAGUCCAAUGAUGACUGAGAGUCUUGACUAUAUAUAUACAUUUCUUUUUGAAGCUAUUUCGUGUUGUCUUUUUAGUAUUUCAAAAUCUAUUGAAACUAUUUCCUGUUU